AACGAACGCUGGCGGCGUGCCUAAUACAUGCAAGUCGAGCGAGAAAGCCGUCUUCGGAGGUGAGUAAAGCGGCGACACGGGUGAGUAACACGUGGGCAACCUACCCUUGAGUCUAGGGAUAACCCGGGGAAAACUCGGGCUAAUACCAGAUACGGCUGCGGGGUCUUCGGAUCCUGUGGAGAAAGAUGGCCUCUUCUUGAAAGCUAUC
rnacentral:rRNA from 1 species